rnacentral:tRNA from 1 species
GCCGAAGUGGCGGAAUGGUAGACGCGGCAGAUUCAAAAUCUGCUCUGGGCAACUAGGUGCUGGUUCGAGUCCGGUCAUCGGCA